GUGAAUCAUCGAAUCUUUGAACGCAAAUUGCACUCCCUGGUAUUCCGGGGAGUAUGCCUGUUUGAGGGUCGUUAUUACAAAAAUCGAAGCGUCGCUCUUUUUUUCUAAGGGUGAUCGCGUUGGAAUUGAGCUGUCUUUUAAAUGUUAAUUCAUGUCGAAGUGGCUUGAAAUUCAUUCUUUCGGUAUGCUUAAAGCGUAUUUUAGUUCAUCUUUGCUUAAGACCGCGCGAUGAUUGUACCAUCUCAUGUAGUAUGUUUGCGUUGACGUCGUCAGUAUCGCUUUUAUCCGA
rnacentral:misc_RNA from 1 species